rnacentral:lncRNA from 1 species
AUUGUUAAUAAUGAUAAAUUAAUUAUUUUUAUUAAUUAUUAUUUUUAUCAUUAUUUUAUUGGUGUUGGUAUUGUUUUAGCUCAUACCUAUUUUUGGGGAAAAGAACAUGUUGGUGAUGAGACAACUGAUGCCGAAAAAAGAGCAUCCAUAGAGAAGAUAUGGCGAGCUGCUUGUCCUAGUAUAAGUGGGUGCGAUGAUCCGCUAAUUAAUCCGUUCGUCGGUUCAAGUCUAGCGAGCCUCGGGUGCAAAAGGGUGUAGGUUCAUGUUGCAGAGAAGGAUUUGAUAAGAGAUAGAUGAUGGUUUUAUUAUGAGAAGUUAAAGGAAAGUGGCUGGGGAGGUGAAGCGGAGAUCGUUGAGUCUAAAGGAGAGCUGCAUAUCUUCUAUUUGCUCAAUCCCACUUGUGACAGUGCUGUGGCCAUGAGGAAGAAGAUUGCUUCCUUCUUCAACGAGAUUUAGACCUAAAUUUCUUAUAUGGAUUGUUCAAAUAAGCUACCGUAAUUGAUCUGCUGGAAAUUACAGCACUUCCAAGGUUAUAACGUUUCUCUCUUUUUUUUUUUGCCCUCACCUCGUGCAAGGAUAGGUAUUUUCCUAAAUUCAUAUCUGUAUAUAUGUUUCACACUCAGACUUUGAUUUGGUGUGUGUAUGAUAUGGUUGUAUUGUUGGUUAAAAAUUCUCAAAUCAAAGUGCUUUAAUCUCAAAUUUCAAGUCAAAAUUAUGAAAGAAUUGAUGUUAGCAUUCAUUAUCUUUAAAAAAUUAACAUAAAAAUCAAGUAUAAACUAAGACAAUAUACAAACCUUUCUAAGAACUAUAUUAAUUGCGAAUCAAGUUCUUACCAUUGGCCUUUCACAUUUAUAACAAAUAGUUUUUUUUAAGGAUUUUUUUUCAUUUUUUAGAAAUUUUUAAAGGAUGUGUUUUUUUUUUAACUUAACAAUAAUUAAAACACAUACUAACUCUCGCCCCCAAACCUAUUCUGAGCAUUGUCCUUAAUAUUUCAUAAUCUAAAAAUAUACAUACAAAAAGGUGAAAGAGAUAAAGAAAUCAUGAAGAAUAAAAGAAAAAGUUGGAGAGAUCAUACUUGAGCUGGUUGCAAAAGUUUAAAAGAAGAUGACAAAAAACAAGAAAAUGUUAAAAAAAUAAAAAUAUUAGGAAACAAAAAUAAACAAAAGUCCUUAGUAUCAUGUGAAAUAAAAAAAAAUCUCAAAUAAUGACACUAACAAGUCCUCUGAUAAAAAAGAAUUUGGUUAUACCUAGAGCGACUAUUAAGAAAACAAAAAACAAGACUAUUGAACCUCUUGAGCAUAUGAUCUAUGAAAGAAAAAUGGAAGUGACCUCGCUUUUACCAACCGUUUUCACAAUAGGGUUUGGAUUUGGUAUUAUCUCAAGCAUAUGGCUAAAAGCAUUCUCAAAGAGAAUCAUAGGUGCAUAGAGCCAGGGACUGCAACUAUCCAAAUUAUGGCUUCUUCAUGUUCAUUAAAAAUCAUUAAUUAAUUUACCAACAUGUUUAUUUUAUUUAGUUGCUAAAAUAACAAAGAAGUUUUCUAAAGACACUUAAGACAAAGAAAUGGAUGACUCAAGUAAUGGUUUCAAGUCUAAUAACGGUCGUUUUUCUAUAGAUGGAGGAGGUACAGACUUAGAGGGUGGAAGAUAGUCUACUUUAGCUAUCCAUUUAUUAAGAUCCAUUAAUAAGGUAGACUCUAGUAAAGAAUUUACUUCACUAAUCAUAGUAUUCUCAUUUAUGUCGAUGCUAAAAUAAGUUAAAUAAUCUUUUAAUAGGUCAUCUCCAUUGAAAAGCUUAAAGGAAUUAUUGAUUAUACUCUCUAUUAGAUUGACAUCUCUGUCAUCAUUAAAAUUCUCUAUAGUAGAAAGUUAUUUACUAACAUUAAACACAUUGAGUCCUAUAGUCAUAUUCCCAAAUGAAAUUUUCAUGACAUCAUUAUGACAAUUAUUAAGAAUUUGUUGUAGCUAAGAAAGGUCAACCUAAAAUAAUAAAAAUUUGAGAACAUGGGUUCUCUACAGGUUCAUUGUCAAGAACUAUGAAGUCGUCAUGAAAGUAGAAUUUAUCUAUCUUGACAAGAACAUCCUCUAUAAUCCCUCUAAAAGUUUUGAUAGAUUUAUCUACUAAUUAGAGUGAUACAUGAGCAGGUUUCAAGUCUCUAAAUACUAAUUUCUCAUAGAUAGAGUAUGGCAACAAGUUAACAAUGGCACAUAAAUCAAGUAAAGGUCUAUCAAAUGCAUGGUCUCUAAUAACACAAGAAAUUGCAGAUGAACUGGGGUCUUUAUACUUAGUAGGAAUUUUGUUCAGGAGAACGCUAUUAACCUUUUACGGUUAGGAAUACCUUUUGUGGGACAUUAUUUUUCCUUUUUACUAGACAAAGAUCUUUUAAGAACUUAGCAUAAGCUGAUAAUCGUUGAAUAACAUCAAGCAAAAUGAUGUUAUGGGUAAGGAGCUUUGAGAACAUAAGGCUUGGAUUGAAUUUCAUUCUCAUUAGGUUUACUAGGUAAUUGCUUUUCAAUUGAACUUGGUUGACUUUCUUUCCAAUGCUCAAAAACUUUCAAAUGAUUAUCAAUUGUUUUUCCAAACCUAAGGGUAGUUAUAGAUUUGGCUUUCUCAUUAGGCAUAUUAGAAAUGGAUGAUGAUCCUAUUUCAAAUUGACUUUUAGGGUUAAGAAUUAGUUGACUAGGUAGUUUUCCUUUCUCCCUCUCAACUACAGUAGUUGCUAAUGGACCCAAUUAAUUUCAAGCUUUAAAAUAGCUUUAGUGUUACAAUGUAAUGCUUAUUGGGUUGACUGAAUGAAAUUUUGAAGUGUAUCUCUAAAAAAAUGUCUUCUUUGUUGUCGUGCAGCAAAUUGAGACAUAGGUUGUUGAACAAGAGAAUAUGCUUGGUUAGGAGGGACAAAUUCUUUAUCGAGCAUGCUAAAUUGUUGUCCUCCUUUGUUUGAUAUUGUUUGAUUUUGUUUUUAGAAAAAAAUAGGGUGAUUCUCCAAUUAGGAUUAUAUGUGGGUAAAUAUGGACUAUUAGAGGAAUUUCCAUAUAAUUGUAAUGCAUGUACUAGUUCAGAAUAAGUCUUUGAUAGGCUGGUAAUGAAGGACUAUUAUGUGCCAUAUGAGAUAAGUUGGAACAAAGAGCACAAACUUCAUUAGCUACACUAGGAUGAUGAUUUAUUGAUUGGUUUAGAGUUAAGACUUCUACUUUCUUAAAAAGAUUAGCUAGAGUUGAUUUCACAUCAAAAUCAUCAUUAACUUCAUGUAGACCAUUGUCAUGACGCAUCCUAAAUUUGGCAAGAUAUUGUCCGCUUUGGGCCUUAAUAAGGCCCGCACGGUUUUAUUCUCAGGGCUUUAAUACACCCCAAAAUACGUCUUGCCAAUUAAGGUGUGGAUCACCCUGUUAACAUAAAUAUUUCUUUAUUGAUUUUGAUGAUAACAAACUUGAUUAAGAUUGAUUAAUCUUUUAAAAGCUCAAAAUAAUUUUCAGCUAUUUUGACAAGUUUUAUAAAGUGUUUUUAUAAAGAUUUGGAGACAAACAGUUAUCUUGCAAAAUAGUUCACUGCAGCAGUUUCUAUGGAAAACAGCGAUCCGACAAUCUUGAUAAAUGGCUCGCCGACAUCAAAUAGAAUUGAAGAUUAGUCUCUGGACCUAAACGGCGAUCCGAAAUUCUGAUAAACGGCUCGCCGAUAUUGAACAGAACUGAAGAUUAGCCUCUGGACCUAAACGGCGAUCCGACAAUUCUGAUAAACGGCUCGCCGAUAUUGAUCCGACAUCUAGAUAACGGCGAUCCGAUAAUUUGAAAAAUCAUCCCAACGGUCAUAUUGACCAGUCAAACGGCAAUCCGACAGUGUGUAGAAAGUCAAUAACGACUAGUUUUCAGCUCCAACUAUAAAUAAGCUCAUUCAAAUUCAAACAAGGUUGAUCACAACACGACCAUUAAGCUUAUAUUCUAUAAUACAAUCUUCAUAGAGUUUUAAAACACAUUCUUGUUUCAUCUAUUCACACACUGGGCAUUGAUUUAUAAUCUUAAAUAUUGUGUGAGAGAAAAAUAAUUUUCAAUCUUCUACUUUGAGUGAUUGUAAGUGUUGGGAUACACUUGGGUUAAGAGAUUGGAGAUAAUCACUUGUUGUAAAGGUUCAUUGACACCUUGGAAGUCAAGUGUAAGCAUUUGAAGCCUUGGAGGCUUGCUUAGUGAAAUCCUCAAGCCUAGAAAGCUUGGAGGCAUGGACGUAGGUGAGGUUGGCCGAACCACGUAAAAAUCUUAGUGUUUGAAUCUCUCUUCCCUUAUCUUUUUAUAUUGUAAUUGAUUUAAUUGUUAUUCCAUUAAAUUCAUUCUAGAUUUGCAUGAUAAUUUGUUUGAGAAUCUAAUAAUUUUUAGAAUCCCAAUUCACCCCCCCCUCUUGGGUUGCAUACUUAUAUUUCAAUUGGUAUUAGAGACUUGUUCUCUUAUUAGGACUUAAUCGUCUAGAGUAAAAGAUCCAUGGUAACCCUAAAUGACUCAACCUUUAGAGAAGAGCAAUCCACAACUAGACCACCGUUCUUUGACGGUAAUGACUAUGCAUAUUGGAAAACUAGAAUGAGAAUCUAUUUGCAAGCUUUAGAUUAUGAAAUUUGGGAAGUUGUUUGUGAUGGUCCAUUCAUGCCUAUGUUUAAAGAUGAAGUAGGAGAUGAUAUUCUUAAACCAGCAAGUCAAUGGAGUGAGUUAGAAAAGAGAAAAAUGUCCUUAAACUCCAAGGCAAUAAAUGCCUUAUUUUGUGCUCUUGAUAAGAAAAAAUUCCAUAGAGUAUCUAGCUGUGAAAGUGCACAAGAAAUAUGGAAUAAAAUUGAAGUUGUCUAUGAAGGGACAAAUCAAGUUAAAGAGUCUAAAAUUAGUAGAUACACUCGUCAAUAUGAAUUGUUUCAAAUGGAACAAAAUGAAAAUGUGUAUUCUAUGUAUACUAGAUUUACGGACAUAGUGAACACCCUAGGAGCUUUGGGAAAAGCCUUAUCAAAUAACGAGAAAGUUAAGAAAAUCAUUAGGUCACUUCCAAAAGAAUGGAGACCUCAAAGAACCGCUAUUGAAGAGGCCAAAGAUUUAAAUACUUUACCUCUUGAUGAUUUAAUUGGUUCUCUCAUUUCAUAUGAAGAAGAUUUGGCAGCAGAAAAAAAGCAUGAGGAGAAGAAGAAAAGCAUUGCUCUCAAAGCUUCAAAAUAUGAGAGUGAUGGGGAGAGUGAACCGGAUAAUGAAGAGCUGGCCAUACUAGCAAGGAGGUUCAGAAAAUUCUUCAAGAAAAUCGGAGAACGAAGAAAUUUCAGAAACUUCAAGAACCAAAGGGAGAAGAAAAAGGUAAUCACAUGCUAUGAAUGUAAGAAGCCUGGCCAUAUAAGAUCGGAGUGCCCACUUAUCAACAAACUUAAGAAGAAAGUCAUGGUUGCAACUUGGGAUGAUAGCGAGGAAGAUUCAAGUGAUGAAGAAGGGUCGCAAGAAGUAUCAAACCUAGCGCUUAUGGCAAUAGGAGGGGAUGAUGAUCUCAAUGAGUAAGUGAUCCCAUCUAUGAUGAAUUGUAUGAUGCUUUUAAAGAAUUGUAUAAUGAGUUGAUGAAGAUUGGUAAAAAGAAUGUAUGUCUUAAAAAGGAAAUGACAAAGCUUUAAAAUGAAAAUGAAUCUCUAAAUGCAAAAAUUGCAUGCCUAGAAGUAGAGAACAAAAUAUUGCAUGAUGAAAUUACAUUAUCAAAUGGGAAACCUAGUAUCUCACAUGAUUAUUUAGAAUCACACAUAGAUUAUUUGAAAAAUGAAAACGAAAUGCUUAAGAAAAAGAGCAAUGAGUUGAAUGAGAUUGUUUUGAAAUUUACAAAUGGGCAAAAGAUGUUGGAUAAUAUGCUUAACUCAAAAAAAUGUGUUUAUGAUAAAGGAGGACUUAGGUAUAAGCCUAACUUGAAGCAAAAAUAUUAUAAGAAUUAUUUUGUUAAAGCUACCUCCACAAGUGAUCAUAAGAUUGUUUGCCAUUACUGUAAUCAAAACGAUCACAUGAAAUAUAGAUGUCCCAUGAAAAGGAAUGCAUAUUAUGGUGUCAAAUGUAUUUGGGUUCCAAAAGGAACCAUUGCUAACUCUCAAGGACCCAAAAAGAUUUGGGUACCUAAAACUUGAGAUUUUCUUUGUAGGGCUUAAAGAAGAAGAAAAAUAAAUGGUACUUGGACAGUGGUUGUUCAAGGCACAUGACCGGAAACUAUGCAUGGUUCUCAAGCUUCACCAAAAUUGAAAAUGGUGGAGACGUAUCUUUUGGAGACAACUCAAAAGGAAAAAUUCUUGGAAUUGGAAAUGUUGGUAAAGUUUCCUCAACUCUAAUUGAGAAUGUAUGUUUGGUUGAGAACUUGAAAUACAAUUUAAUUAGUAUUAGUCAAUUAUGUGACAAAGGUUACAAAGUUAUCUUUGAUAAAUUUAGUUAUGUUAUUGAGAAUUCAUGUGAUGGCAAGAUCUUAUUUGUUGGGAAUAGAUGUGGUAAUGUUUAUAUCAUUGACAUAGAAUGUGCAUCUACUCUUGAUAAAUGCUUUUCUGAAUUACAUGAUGAUAGUUGGUUAUGGCAUAAAAGGUUAGGACAUGCAAGUAUGGAUUUGAUUUCAAAAAUUUCAAAAAAUGAUUUAGUUAAAGGUCUUCCGAAAAUUGAUUUUCAAAAAGAUAAGAUUUGUAAAGCUUGUCAAUUUGAAAAACAAAUCAAAACAUCUUUCAAAAAUAAAAAUCAUAUUUCUACUUCAAAACCACUUCAACUUCUUCACAUAGAUUUAUUUGGGCCAUCUAGAUAUGCUAGUCUAAAUGGAAAAUAUUAUGCAUUUGUGAUACUGGAUGAUUAUUCUAGAUAUACAUGGUAUUAUUCUUAGUCAAUAAGGAUGAUGCUCUUGAUGCCUUUAAAGUGCUUUGUAAGAAAUUACAAAAUGAAAAAGGGGAUAGUAUUACAUGCAUUAGGAGUGAUCAUGGAGGAGAGUUUGAAAAUCAUGCAUUUGAGAAUUUUUGCAAUAAUCUUGGCAUUGAGCAUCAAUUUUCAUCACCUAUAACUCCACAACAAAAUAGAGUUGUUAAGAGAAAGAAUAGAUCCAUUCAAGAAAUGGCUAGGACUAUGUUGAAUGAAAAUUCAUUACCUAAGUAUUUUUGGGCCGAGGCCGUCAACACCGCUUGUUAUAUUUUAAAUCGUGUGUUGAUUAUACCUAACUUUAACAAAACUCCAUAUGAGCUUUGGAAACAUAGAAAACCCAAUAUUGGUUAUUUUAAAGUUUUUGGACACAAAUGUUUUAUUUUGAACACAAAAGACAAUCUUGGCAAAUUUGAUCCAAAAUCUAAUGUUAGUAUUUUUCUUGGAUAUUCAAACUCAAGCAAAGCCUAUAGAGUUUAUAAAAAAAAUACACUAGUUGUAAAAGCAUCUAUGCAUGUUACAUUUGAUGAGUCUAACCCUUCCUCUGCGGAGAAAGGAAUAAAUUAUGAUGAUGCAGAUGGAGAGUUACAAGAAGAACCAUUAAAGGAUAAUCAAGAGAAUGCACCACAAAGAAAUCAAGAGGAUGAACAAGAAGAGCAAACAAAUAUGGAGCAACAUAAAGGUACUUCUCAAACACUCCCCAAGGAGUGGAGGUAUGUUUCUUCUCACCCUAAAGAUGUAAUUUUAUGAGAUCCCUCACGAGGUGUUACAACUAGAUCAUCACUUAAGAAUACUUGUGAGCAUAAUGCAUUCAUUUAUCAAAUUGAACCCAAAUCCUUUGCGAAUGCGAAAAAUGAUGAAUCUUGGAUUAUGGCAAUGCAAGAGAAGUUAAAUCAAUUUGAAAGAAACAAUGUGUGAGAAUUAGUUCCUAAACCGGAACAUCAAUCUAUCAUAGGUACUAAAUGGAUAUUUAGAAAUAAGAUGGAUGAAUCCGGUGUGGUUGUAAGAAAUAAAGCUAGAUUAGUAGCUCAAGGUUACAACCAAGAAGAAGGAAUUGAUUUUGAUGAAACUUUUGCACCCGUUGUUAGCCUAAAAUCAAUUAGAAUUUUGUUGGCAUUUGCAUGUUAUAAAAAUUUCAUCUUAUUUCAAAUGGAUGUGAAAAGUGCUUUCUUAAAUGGGUAUAUUAUGGAAGAAGUAUAUGUAAAACAACCCCUUGGUUUUGAAAAUGAAAAACUUCCAAAUCAUGUUUAUAAAUUGUUUAAAGCCUUGUAUGGAUUAAAACAAGUACUUAGAGCAUGGUAUGAUAGGCUUAAGAAUUUGUUGUUAGAAAAUGAUUUUUCCAUGGGUAAAGCGGUACUACUCUCUUUGUUAAGCAUAAGAACCAAGAUAUACUUAUUGUUCAAAUUUAUAUUGAUGAUAUUAUUUUUUGUUCUACUAAUGAGUUGUUGUGUAAAGAAUUUUCAUCAUGUAUGAGCAAAGAAUUUGAUAUGAGUAUGAUGGGAGAGUUGAAGUACUUCCUUGGACUCCAAAUCAAACAAAACGAGGAAUGAAUUUUCAUAAAUCAAGUCAAGUACGUAAAAGAUCUACUCAAACGAUUCGACAUUGAUGACUCAAAGACUAAAAAUACACCAAUGAGCACAACAACCAAGCUCGACAAAGAUGAAAAAGGCAAAAAAGUGGAUAUCAAAAUGUAUCGAGGUAUGAUUGGAUCUUUACUUUAUUUGACUGCAAGUAGACCCGAUAUCAUGUUUAGUGUAUGUUUGUGUGCAAGAUUUCAAUCAUGUCCCAAGGAAUCUCAUUUGCUUGCUGUUAAAAGAAUUUUCCGUUAUUUGAAUGGAACCAUAGAUAUUGGCCUUUGGUAUCCUAAAGGAACUUAUAUAGAUUUAACAUGCUAUUCGGAUGCGGACUUUGCUGGUUAUAAAGUUGAUAGGAAAAGCACUAGUGGAACUUGCCAUAUCCUAGGUCACUCACUUGUUUCAUGGUUUAGUAAGAAAUAAAAUUCUGCUACACUCUCAACUACCGAGGCUGAAUAUAUAACUGCAGGAAGCUGUUGUACACAAGUUCUUUGGAUGAAACAAACACUUAGAGACUAUGGUAUUAACCUAGAACAAAUUCCUAUUAAGUGUGAUAAUACUAGUGCUAUAAAUCUUUCAAAGAAUCUCAUUCAAUAUUCCCGAAGCAAGCAUAUAGAAAUAAGACAUCAUUUCUUAAGAGAUCAUGUUCAAAAGGGAGAUAUUGUAUUAGAGUUUAUUUCUACAGAAAAACAACUUGCCGAUAUUUUUACAAAACCACUUUGCGAAGAACAAUUUUCAAAAAUUCGGCAUGAACUUAGGAUGAUGAAAUUUUCUCAUUAACAUCUUGAUACAUGUUAUUGAGUCUAUUAAAAUUGAUUGAUUUAUGAUUUGAUGUUUUAAUAUCUAUGGAAUGCUCAAUAUACAUGUGAAGUGUGUGUAUUUUUGAACAAUGUAUGAAUAAAUUGUUGAAAUAUAUUCAUGUUCAUGAAUUAUGCAUUGAAUUGGCACUUAAAUCAUUUUGGAUCAAUGAAAUGAUCUUGAAAUGUAUUAAUUGUUGGUCAUAUACUAAAAUAAAUGUGAGAAAUCAUACGUUGUAGAAAAAGGAUUGCCGUUAUUUCAAUAAACGACUAACCGUUUUAGGGCAGAAACAAUGGGGAACUCUCUGGACUCUGUCGGCUCGCCGAUAUCCUUAUAAACGACUCACCGUCCUGAUGAAAAUUUUUGGGAACUCUAUGGACCCUGUCGGCUUGCCGAUAUCUCUAUAACGGGCUCGCCAUUUGAUGAAAAAUUUUGGGAAGCUCUCUGGACACUGUCGGCUCGCCGUUAUCGCGCGAUAAGUGAACAGUCAUUCGUCUUUCUUUCCAUUUUGUUCAUGCUCACUUUCUCUCUCUCCCAAACCGUGACUGCAACUUCAUUUCUCUCUCAAAUCCAUCAUUUUUCUUGUCAUUUUUCACCAAAUUGAAGCAUUAAAAACCAUCAUUAUCAUCUUUAGCACAUUUUUAACCGAUUAAAAUCGGUUUUCUCUUCAAAAAUUGAAAAAUCCCAAAUUUUAAACCCUAGAACCAGCCGCACUUCUCUCACCAAAUUUGAACCAAAUUUCUUCCAUUAUCAAUCACAUUUCAACUUGUCAUUACUCUCUCAUCACUCAAAUUUUAUUUCUAUCAAUUCAAUUUUUUUUUCAAACUCAUCAAUGACAGAACAACCACAGAGGCGUGCUCAAACCAAGCACACUGCUCCGCGUCGUUCCAGUCCCUCCGGACCUCCCUCUUAGGACUUCGAGAGCCUCCAUUUUUCCAAUGAUACCUCUGCUCAACGAUUUCGUGACAAAUUCAUGGGCAAACCGGUAACCCCCUCAUUUUCUCUUAACAUUUCGGAGUUUUCGGAUAUUACCAUUUGUGGUCGUACUAUUUCUCAAUUGCUUAGCCAUUGGAAGGAAGCCUUAAGUAUAGAAGAGCCCAUAUAUGAAAAUUUAGUCCAUGUCUUUUAUUCAAAUAUGGAACUCUCCUCUACUCGUCAUGUUGAACUGUAUACUUAUGUAUGAGGAAUUCGCAUUGCAUUUGAUGAACCAGAAUUAUGUAAUAUUCUUGGAAUUUUUUAUGGAGGUUUAGAUAUUUACACCGCUAGGAAAGAACUUGAUUUUAGUGAUUUCUGUCACGUGGAUGGUGUACGGAACAUUUGUAGGCGUCGGGAUCUUUCCGAUGACGUUUGUUCUUUGUCCUUUAGGUCUCAACUCCUCCAUUUCCAAGUUUGAAUACUUCAUAUCAUUCUCCAACACAUGGUCACCCCUAGACAGGGUCACACUGAUGAGGUAACUCGACUUGAUGUUGGUUUAUUACAUUCCUUCAUCCGUAGACGGCAUGUGAGGUUAUCCUACACUAUUCUUUGUUAUAUGAUGUCCACGCCUAGAGUCUCCAACUGAUCCCUUCCUUAUGGCAGCAUCAUUACUAGGAUCUUGAAAUACUUUCGAGUCCCUAUCAUUGAGCCCGUUUAUCUCGAGACCCGAAGGCUCGGUCGAGAGAUUAUUUUUGCGAUCGGAUUUUUUAAAAAGCGUGGGAAGUAGGAAAAGAGAACAUCCUCUAAGAAUGAAGAUACACUGCUUGCACCAGAGGAUGAUCGUAUGUUAAAUGACGUCUAUUCUGAGGAUGAGUUACCUGAUUUCCGCCUUGGGGCUAGACCGCAUGUCCCUCGCAGAGCAGCAGCAGCAUCAACAGCACCAACAGCAGCUUCCUCUCAGGAUGACGAGCCAGCCGAGCCCGCCAUCCCUCCUGCAGCAUCGACCGUCCCUGCGGAUCGCUUUCAGCAACUGUUUGACAAAGUGGAUGUCCUGUCCCAGCAGCAGCAGUAGCUUCAAUCUGAUUUUGCGACCUUUCGGCAGUAAAUUUCAGAUCAGCAGAUGAAGUUACUUGCUGGUAAGCGCCGCAUUCUCAGUUACUUUGGUUAUGACCCAGGCAGCUCUUCUUCACAGCCCCGUCUUAAUUUUCUACCCCUCUGAUUUUCGCACAAACAUCACUCAUUUCAUGUAGUUAUUAUGAUGAUAUUUGUCUCUUGUUUAUGCUUAUGAUGUUUUCUGUUGAUUUUGAUAAUAUCUUGAUUAUCUUGCUGAUCUGUUUGAUUGUUGACAUAGAGGUUGGUUGAUAAGUUGGCAUAUAUAUAUGGAAGUGUUUCUUUUAACUCUUUGUAUUGUUAACGAUAUGCUUAUUUUUAAGGGGAGAUUCUGUCGAAAUUUUUUUUUUCCAACAUAAGUACUCCCUCAACCUCAAUUUUUAGUCUUUUCGCGCUUAUUUCUUUUUUAUGAUGAAGGGGGAGAUAAUUAUUAUCAAAUCAAUCUGUUUUGUUUAAAAUUAUUUUUGAGAUUAAAACUAAAAAUUCACAUAUUUAAGGGAAGUUAACAAUUCCUUAAAAAUUUCACUUAGGGGGAGCACAUAUUUAGGGGGAGCAAAAUUGCACAAGUAUUUUCUUGAAAAGUUUGUCAUCAUCAAAAAGGGAGAGAUUGUUAACAUAAAUAUUUCUUUAUUAAUUUUGAUGAUAACAAACUUGAUUAAGAUUGAUUAAUCUUUUAUAAAGAUUUGGAGACAAACAGUUAUCUUGCAAAAUAGUUCACUGCAGCAGUUUUUGUAGAAAGCGGUGAUCCAACAAUCUUGAUAAACGACUCGCCGAUAUCAAACAGAAUUGAAGAUUAGUCUCUGGACCUAAACGGCGAUCCGACAAUUCUGAUAAACGGCUCGCCGAUAUUGAACAGAACUAAAGAUUAGCCUCUGGACCGAAACGGUGAUCCGACAUCUAGAUAACGGCGAUCCGACAAUUUGAAAAAUCAUCCCAACGGUCAUAUUGACCAGUCAAACGGUGAUCCGACAUCUAGUUAACAGCGAUCCGACAGUGUGCAGAAAGUUAAUAACGACUAGUUUUCAGCUCCAACUAUAAAUAAGCUCAUUCAAAUUCAAACAAGGUUGAUCACAACACGACCAUUGAGCUUAUAUUCGAGAAUACAAUCUUCAUAGAGCUUUAAAACACAUUCUUGUUUCAUCUAUUCACACAUUGGGCAUUGAUUUGUAAUCUUAAAUAUUGUGUGAGAGAAAAAUAAUUUUCAAUCUUCUACUUUGAGUGAUUGUAAGUAUUGAGAUACACUUGGGUUAAGAGAUUGAGGAUAAUCUCUUGUUGUAAAGGUUCAUUGACACCUUAGAAGUCAAGUGUAAGCAUGGAGCCUUGGAGACUUGCUUAGUGAAAUCCUCAAGCCCGAAAAGCUUGGAGGCGUGGAUGUAGGCGAGGUUGGCCGAACCACGUAAAAAUCUUCGUGUUUGAAUCUCUCUGCCCUUAUCUUUUUAUAUUGUAAUUGAUUUAAUUGUUAUUCCAUUAAAUUCAUUCUAGAUUUGCAUGAUAAUUUGUUUUAGAAUCUAAUAAUUUUUAGAAUCCUAAUUCACCCCCCCCCCCUCUUGGGUUGCAUAUAGGGAUGGCAAAAAUCCUCACGGGGAUGGGUACCCUCGGGGAUUUUUCCCAUUCGGGGAGGGUACGGGGAUAAUUUUAUACCCAAUUUUUUUAUUCGGGGGAGGGACGGGGAAAAUUUUUUACCCAAUUUUUUAUUCGGGGAGGGGACGGGGAUGAGGUGGAAUCCCCAUCCCCUACCCAUUUCCCCAUUUUAAUUUUUAAUUUAAUUUUUAUUUUUAAAAUUACUAAUAAAUAAAUAACAAAAUUAUAAAUAUUGUUAAAAAUAAUAAAUAUCAAAAUAUUUAUAUUAUUAAAUGCUAAUAGGUAUCCUACAUUAGCUCGAAUUGCUAGAGAUAUUUUGGCAAUUACAAUUACAACAGUUGCUUCUGAAUCAGCUUUUAGCACCGGUGGUAGAGUUGUGAGCCCACACCGUAACAAACUUCAUCCAAGCACAUUGGAGGCCUUAAUGUGCUGUCAAAGUUGGUUACGAGCUUACAAUAACAGUAUGAGUUUAUUUUACAUUGUGAUUAUAUUAUACAGUUAUUAAUAUUUGCACUUAUAAGUUACUUUACUUAUAUUAUUUUCAUUGUUUUAUAAUUAUUUUAAUAAUUUAUAUUUUGAAUGUGACUUUGUAAUGGAUCAAUAUUAAUGUAAGAUAUAUUUUGAACUUUAUUUUUAUCUGAAUUUUUUAUUUUAAUAUGAUUAAUUUAAAAUUGAAAAUAAAAAUAAUGUAUUAGACUAUUAGUUAUUCGGAGACCUGGGACCCUCGGAGAUCCCCUGUUAUUAUUCGGGGAGGGGACGGGGGCAUAUACAAAAUAUCGGGGAUGGGUAUGGGGAGAUUGAUCCCCUCCCCUCCCCUCCCCAUUGUCAUCCCUAGUUGCAUACUUGUAUUUCACACCCCUUAUAAACUCAACAUCUCUCCCAUACUUUGCCGAUGUGAGAUUCAACUAUAGUGUUACAAACACCCCCUUGGGGACUCAGUGUCCUCGUUGAGGUUUGUCCCAUCAUCGUUCAAGAGGACACGCGAAGCCGCUCUGAUACCAUAAUGUCAUGACCCAACCUAGACCUGGCAAUAUAUUGUCCGCUUUAGACCUUAACAAGGCCCGUACGAUUUUGUUCAUGGGACGCACAUACACGCCAAAACACGUUUUGUCAAUUAAGGUGUGGAUCACUCCUUAUAAAGGCAAUAUCUCCCCCAUUCUUUGCCGAUGUGGGAUUCGCCUAGGGUGUUACAAUCAUUUCUAGAGUCUUGGACUUAUUUUUCUCUUUGAUUUAAAAUAUCCCAUUGUUAAGAAUUCUUAAAAAGUGAACUGAAGAAAUCCCAAAGCAGCCAUUUCAUAUAGGUAAAAACUUGCUACCAUUCAUAGAUUCUACCAUACAACAAUUUGAUAUCCAUUAUAAAAGUAUUCUACUAGUUUACAUUUCUUAAAACCAUUGUGGGGACACUUAAGGAGUGGUCAUUAAGUCUUUCCCAACACUCAUAAAAUUGUUCACUCUCUCUUUGUCUUUUAAAAAAAAGAGAACAUAUGAAUCCUAAUUGAAUUAUCGUUAAAAUUUUGGAAAUGAAAUGUAGAGCAUAGUACUCAAAUCGUCCAAUUUUAAUGGUUCUCUUUCUCUUUUAAACCCUUCAAUACUUAAAAUAAAAACUCAAAAUCUUCAUUUACAAUUCUCUUUUCUAAUACAAUCUUCUGACGGGCAACUAAUUUUUACAACUCUCUGCAUUCAUCGUUGAUUGUUGUUUCAUUAUCUUUGAGAAUUUUAGUUUAUUACGUAUUUAGUAUCAUUCUUUUUAGAUUAAUAUAAUUAUUUGCAUAUAUUUUUUAUGUGUACUGCAGUGCUAGAGUAUGAAAAGGAAUUUUGAAUUUCACUACAUCUUUUUUUUAUAAAAAAAAAGGAAAUUAAUAGCCUUAACAUAUGCAUUACACCAAGAUAAAUAUAGAAGCUAAAUAUGCUAACAAAAGCAAAACAUACCUUUAAUUCCUCUCAUAAACACCGUACUAAUUAAUUAAAGUUGGGUGAUAAACGAAACAAACUUAUUGAUCAAGUCCACAGCUUUUUCACAUUUAAGGUUGUCGAAAUAGAAGCUAUGCCCUUCGCCGUGACUCUCAACAAGCUCCACCGUUCCUUUCCACCCACUUUUCUUCAAGUCUUCGUAGUAAUUCAUAGCCACAGGUUUCAAAUAAUCUUUCUCAGCCACAAAUAUCAAAACCCUCUCACACCCAAGCCUGGCCAGAUCCUCUGCGGGAGGUUUCAGCCGAGGAUCCUGCAACCCUCCGUUUGUUGGACACAUGUACAACCAUAUCUCAUCUUCUUCAGGACUAGUGCCACCGAAAAACGGAUGCACCAUGAUCACCCCAACCACCUUUACACAGGGUAACCCGAUUGACCCGACCCGAAAUGCCAGAGUAUGCGCAAUAUUCCCUCCAGCACUGCCUCCUCCAAUGAAAACUCUCCCAAAAUCAGCGUGAUCAUUCAACCAUGGCUCGGGUCCAUUUCUGCUGGUAUGGGACGCCACCCAGUUGAGUGCAGCCCACGAGUCUUCGUAACAAGCGGGUAUUGGUCGAUCCGGGAAGAGCCCGUAUUCCACGGACACCACUACAGCAUUAGCUUGUGCAGAAACGACGCUACAGAAAUUAUGAUACCGCGGACCAAAGGCUGACCGCCUGCAGAAUCCGCCGCCAUGCACGUAGAAUAAGAGAGGGAGCUUCUUCUGGUUAGGGUUUUGGGCUUCAUACGGAAUGAAGAUACGAGCAGAUACGGGUGGUUCGGACGAAAUAAUAACGUCUUUGGAUCGGACACCGGUGGUGGGGUCAUCGGAGGGUGGGAUCUUUUCGCAGUCGGGUUCGAAUAACUCAACCCGGCCGUCUUUGUAAACCCGGAAGAAUCGGAAUUCUUUUGCAAUUUCCGAGUCGCUUGAUGCCAUGUUUUUAAUUUGAAGCUUCGGUUUGAAAUAUAAUCAUAAAAGAGAAGAAGGGUUCUUUCUGUUUGUGCUGUUUGGUGAAAGAGGGAGAGCCAUCAAACGCUUUAUAAUAUGGGAACGUACGUGGUCACCUAACUUUCACAGCAUCUUCUCGCCCAUAAGUAUCUGUUUCUUUGACAUUUAUUUUUUCUUUUUUUCAUACCUUUUUCUUAUCAGUAAAUAUUUACGAUAUACGAAUAUGACGUUGAUAUUCCAAAUAGUUACAGUUAAUGCAACUUACAGCUGCCCUGUAAAAUGCGGACCCGAUAGAUAAAGGAUUUAAGUGGAUUACACGAAUGCCUUUUUUAGGCCAACCAAACCAACAAAUGAAAGAAACCAGUCACCAACUCUUCUUUUUCCUCUCUUCUGAUCAUCUGUUGGGAGAGAGGAAAACAAAUAAACAAUCUAUUUCUGCACCACUGCAUGCUUGUUAUAAGGAUAAGUUUUGAGCUAUUAUAUCAACUACACAAUAAUACACAAUAAUUAAAUGAUGUUAUGAUAUAUAUUUUUUUAUUUUUAAAAAUUAAUAUGUAAAUAGUAAUUAUAUUAAAUUUAAUUACACAUAUUAUGCAUGUAUUAGUUAGUUUUAUUACCUUUAAUGUAUUCUAAAAUUCUUCCCAACAUUAAUAAAUUAUUCGAAGGAUUAAUGAAUUAGAAGAAUUAGGAUCUAGUAUUGAGCUGAGUUUUUAUUUAAAAAUAGAAUUAAUAGUCAGGAUUAUUUUAAUUUUUUAUUUUUUAUUUCUCUUAUCUAACAAUUUUUACUCUCUUAUUUCUUUUUCCGAUCUCUGUCUUUAUUUUAUUGGAGUUAGAAAAUCUUUCUUUUUUUUUCACACACUAAAAUCACCGGCAAUGAAUCCACCUCAUAACCCGUGGUGGUUUAAACCCCCAUUAGAGACAAUAAUUUCAAAAAAAAUUAAAACAAUUACUUGAGUUACUAAUUAUCCCUAUUAAAUUUUAAAAAAAAUAACCCCAUAAACUUAUAAGCCCAAUUAAUUUAAGGAUAAAGAUCCUCUCAUGAUAUGAUCAUAUCUGAACAUUCAAGAAUCUUUUAACAUUUAUACAUUAUUAUUUAUGUAUGGUCAAAGUUUACUUAAUUAUUAUAUUCUCAUUUAUUUACCACUAAUCAUAUAAAAUAUAUUUGCUCAAAUAAAAGAUCAAAUCAGGAGAAAACCUUAUCCAAAAUUUAAAUUUAACUUUGAAAAAAUAAAAAUCCACACUUUAAUUAAAAAUAAAAGAGACAAUCGCUCAAUGGCGGAUCUAGAAAAAUAAUUUACGGGGGGCUAAAUUAGAUAAUAUUAAAAUAUAAAAAACUAAGAUUUUGAAUAUAUAAAAUAUUUGCUAAUACAUUUAUAAUUAUUCUCUAUGCAUUUUCAUAUUUUAAAAAUGUUAUGCAAUAGACUCAUUAUCAAUAUUAUUAAAUUGAUUGUUUCCUAUAUAAGUAACCAAACUAUCAUUUAUUCUAUCUGAUUCCAAAGAUGAUUCAUUAUGAGUUUCAUUAUUGAAAACAUUCGCUUUACUAUUAUUAUAGAAACUGGAAGAAUUAAUACUAUUUUUUAGAAUAGAAAAUAUUUUGGGUGGUGGGCUAUCAUUAUUUUUAAUUAAGAUAUAGAUUUUUAUAAUUCUUAAAAGUUAAAGUUUAAAUUUUAUGGGGUUUAUAAUUUAUAGUGACUAUUUUAAUAAAUUUAAUGGGGCUAAUUAAAAAGCUAAAAUAUUUUUCUCUUUUAUUUUUAAAAUUUUUUUUUGCCAGUGGGGGCCACAAGCUGCAUCCGCCCCUACAAUCCCUCACAUGGGUGUUUUAUAAGUGAAUUAGAAAUAGCACACCCAAAGCAAAGAUAAAUGGAUGAAAAUACUGCAUACUUUAUUCAUAUUGAAGUUGCCUUUUUUAGGCAUUACAUGAACAAACUUAAGAAAAUAAUAAGAGCCAUUAUCCACCAAAUAUUGCAGCAACUCUCCAGUAAGAAUAACCUAAAGACAAGGUAAACAUAAUUUUGCAAAUAACACUACUAAACUUCCAAAAGACUAGGACCACAAAAAAACACUUUAUUGACACAAUUAAGGAAUUUUCAACAGGUUUUACUAUUAUUUAAUUUAAGCCCAUUAAAUUUAUUAAAAUAACCUUUACAAACUCACUAAUCUAUAAAAUUUUAGUUUUUAUAUUUUAUCAGUAUGUAAUUUAACCUCUGAUAAAUUGUUUUCAUGAAGCCGCCACUAAGUUCAUCACUCUUUCGAACCUUUUAGUCGUCGUAAGGAGCUAGAGUAAGUUUUGCAGAAUUAGGGCAUGCGAGAGCUCAUUGUAAAUGUAGAAAAUUCUUAUCUCCUACACCUUCUUAAUUCUCUUUUAUCAUGAUAAUAUAUGCUUUUAUAUAAAAUUUAUUUACUUCUAAAAAGAAUUUUAAAAAGCGGCUCCACGCAUCAUUAUCAUGAUUCAGUAUAUCUUUAACAAAGCUGAAGGCUUGCAGCUUUCAAACAGAAAUAAUAAUUUUGAUGACGCUAUUUUUCCGGUAUAAAAGGAAAAAGAAAGUAAUCAGUGGUUGCAUAUGUGGAAGGCAUCAACUCACAAUGGACAACAAAUCUAAGUAACCCAAAUCAAUGAGUUUUGAAAUUUACGCCACCAUGUCACUUUUCUAGACUAAAACAUUGCGCUAAUAGAGCAUCAUUCUAUUAAUUAUGUCGUCAUCACUGACAUCAAGUCUAUAUCCAUAUUUGCAGCGGAAGCAGAUCAAGAACAGUCCUCUUAAAAAUAUCUUUAAUUUUAUACAUAUUAAGAAUUUAAGAUAUAUCAAUAAUGUAAUUUAUUAAAAUUAAACAUUUAAAAAUUUUAAUAUUUUAUUUUUAUAUAUAGACCCGACCUCAUAUUUUUUUUCUCUCCUCUUUUUUUUUUUUUAUUUGCCAUUGCACUCUCUUUCUAUCUUCUCUUCUCUUAGCUUUUUAAUCCCUCACUUUGGUUUGAUUUUUUUUCUCAAUCACAAAAAAUUCUUUACUCUCUCAAGAUUUGAUAUGUUGUCAUAUUUUUAUAAUUUUUUGAAUUUUGUUUUCUACAGUUAAUUUUAGUUUUACCCCUCAUAAAUGAAUACACAUGAAUUAGAUUAGUCAGCCAAAAUGUAGAAAGAAUGAAGAACAGGGAAUCAACCUCUUUUUGAAGCCCUGCAACCACCUUUUGAAUUUAAAGGAAUUGUGAGCAGUUGCCUCCUUCGGGAAAAUUUACAGCCCAUAAAAUAUAUAUAUAUAUAUAUAUAUAUAUAUAUAUAUAUAUAUAUAUAUAUAUAUAUAAGUACAACAAUAUACUAAAUCUUUUAUGCUUUCAAACAUUUAGCGAGAUGAAUUCAGAGAGAGAAACGGCUCAUAAAAGAAUAAAACAGAGAAUGAGGGAUUAAAUAUUUUUAAUAUUUAUCUUAAAUAAAUUCUAUCAUCAAUUUAUCUUAAAUAAAUCGAAUAUUAAUUGAGUAUAAAUUAAGAAUAUUUUUUUAAGAGACUUGACUUGCUCCAUCUUUAUUAUAGGACUAGAAAAUAGAACCGCGCUUCAAGCGACUUUGAAAAAAGAAUUUAAUAUUAUUCUUUUUUUUUACUUUACACUUGAUGAAACGGAUAAAAAAUAUGAAUUAAUUUUUUUUAAGAUGAGGCAACCUUAUAAAAAAAAACUAUUAGCAAGCAAUACAAAUAAAGAAACAACGCAAGAUAAAGAAUAAAAUGAGAGAAUAUAUUAUAGAUUGAUUUUAUUCAUUUCAAUUGUGUGUGUACAAAACAAAAAGAUGAGCUCUCCUUUUAUAGUUACAUAAUCACUCCAUGAAAUUAAUGAAAAAUUAUGGAUCAUAAUUCUUUGUGAGAUAGUGGGAGUUAUAGGGAAGCUAAAGGUUGCUAAUGGGAGAUAGUGGGGAGACUAAGAGAUAUAUGUUAUGAACAUCUACAUUUAUUUUAAUAAAUUUAUAACACUUCCCCUUAGAUGUUCAUUACAAAGAAUAUACCUCAUUAAAAUCUUUACAUAAUUGUUAUUGUGUAAUAACAAUCAAAUUAAUUAUGAGAAGAUGAAAAGCCAAAUCUAAAAGAAAAUUUCUCUAUUUAUUAGAUAAUAGAGAAUAUACAAAGAUGAAAAAUGAUGAUGUCACAUCACCUCCUCAAGUUCCAGCUUUAUAUAUAUGUAUAGAUAGAUUGAUAAUCAUUAUUUGAUUUUUUUUCAAAAUUUGUGCGGCUACUUAAAAGGAAAAUAAAGCAACAUAGUUAGUGGAGCAUGAAAACGAAUACCGCUGUCACAUAGACUGCCACGAUUAUGCUGCUAAGUAAAAGUCAAAAUUGUUCUCCUCCCUUCUCCCUCCUCCCUCCUAUAUUUGAAAGCACACAUUUCAUUCUAACGUAGAUAUCUAAGAGAUUGAUUAAAAGUCCAUACCGUAUGUGUUGGAGGAGCACGAUUGCCACCAAUAAUGGAAUAGGUAUGGCCGUAUGGGCACGUUCGGUCAACGUCUUCUCUUCAGUUUUAACAUAGCCAACGUACACAUGUAAAGAUUUGUAAAUAUCAACAGACAUUAAGUGAAUUAUUAUAUUUUCAGUUUUUGAAAAUAAAUAUUUUUCCAACAAAAAUCUAAAAUAUAAGUGUAAAUUAUGAAAUGGGAUGGGUGUAAAAAUUUUGUUAAAAGAAAAUCUCAUUUAAUUGUUUAAUUGACACUACUAGAAAAAUGGUCUUUAUUGACUUUAGAAUAAUGUCAUAAAUUACUUUCAAUGACACUUGUUAAUUGUGUCAAUAAUCUGGGAGUCAGAAAAAUAAUGACACUUGCAAGUAGUGUCAGUAAUUAUUAUUACUACAGUAUCACCGAUAUUAUGACACCAUAGUAUUAGUAGUUAUUGAUAUUUUAUUAGUGUCUAUGAUUACUGUUACAUGGUAUCACUAGUUAAUUUAUUUUAAAAAAAUAAAAAAUUGAAUUGGAUCAUUGCCUAUUGAUUUAUUGGUAAAAUUAAAAGGCACCACACAAUAACAAAAAGAAAUUGAUUUAUAUCACAAAAUCUUUCAUUUCACAUUUAAAUAUUAUUAGUAUAUAUUACAAAUUCAAAAACUUCAAUAACAAAAAUAUGAGAUAUCCUACUCUCAUAGCUAAAUAAUCCAAAUUCAAUACAUAAAAAUUUCUACCAUCCAAUCAAAUGCCUACUACUUGUGGCUAAAUUUAAUAAAUCUAGAAGCUAAAUUGAGAAGGAUGACUGCCUUUCACUCUUUGAAUAUGAGUAGUAUAAUUGUGUUAUCACACCAGCAGCUUCUCCAUUCAAUAGACUGUAUGGGUUAGGAUAUAAGUGAAGUUGAGGAAUAAACACUUCAAAUACAUUGAUCAAAUCUGCAUAUGAAUACAUGGAAAAGAAAAAAAAAUAGCUGCCAAUAUCCAGCCAUUAGAGAAACAACAAUUAACAGAAAUAAAAUUAUUUUGUUCUAAAGAAAAAAAUACUCAUAAGCUAUUUAUAAAUAAAUUCAAUUAUUCUCUUUUGGUAAAGGUUAUAUAUAUAGCAAACUAUAACAGACAAGAAGUUUUUAAUGUAAUAUCUACUUUCAACACAAGUAUGUUACUCUAUCUACAUAUACCAAAUGAAUUUUGUGCAUAGUUAAAAGCUAUCACAAAUGCUCUAUUAUAAAUAAAUCACCACUCAUUUCCUCAAUUUAUUCAUUCUAAAAGCUUAUUUAACAAGGCAAAAAAUAAGUUCUCAAACUGCAGUUUCCUUAAACUGGGCAUAAAAUAACUAUGAAUCUUCAUAUUUAUAUUAGGCAUAAUAAAGUUUGGACAUAAAAUAUUUCAAUAAUUUGAGAGUUCGAUCCAAAAUUAUUACUACUAAAAGAAAUAAUAUUUGCAAACUUAGUUAAGCCUUUAUAAAGUGAGUAUGAGAUUUAUUAUACUACUUAAAUCUAUUCAUAUGAACCAUUAAAGAUUAUCACCCUAAAUUGUAAUUAAGUAUUCAUUAAUUUGGCCUAAUUAUAAAACUUUAAGAAGAUAAAAAAAAGUAGAAUAAAAAUAUAAUCAUUAUAUAUUUCCACUCACAAGUAAUGUUGCUUUAACUUGAUUGACAUCAUAACCCAAAAUCACUUUAAACAUUUUUCCUAAACCUAGAAAGGGAAAAAAAACAAACUUUAAAAUAUAAUUAUUAUAUAUUAAGACAUGCAUAUAUAACAAGACCAUUUACUAGAAUAUUCAUAGAAUAAUCCAUAGUUCUUAAAAUUAAUAUGCUACACUAAGUAUAUAUUUGAUACAGUAAAUUAAUUUUCAAACUAUUACUCAUAUGCUCAUCAUCCAAAAUCAUUUAUUGGAAGCCUUCAAAGUCUUAAACUAGGAUGUCAAACUCAAACCAACACAAAACAAGAAUGUCAAACUCAAAUCAAUCGCAAAUCAUACAAAUCAAUAAUCGGGCUAAUAUUUAAGUUAAAUUAGUUCAAUUAAAAAGAAUAGCUAACAAGCUCCUAGCUUUCUCGAACCACCCGGCUGGUCCUAAAACCAUUCAUUUUUGGGCUCCAAUUACAAUAGUAAUUGGUACUUAAAUACAUAUUUAUAAAUUUUAAGAUACUUAAUACAUUGGAUUGAUAUUUUUCAGUUUUUAACAACACAUAUGAAUGAACAACAUAUUAAAAUUUGAGAUUAUUCUGAUAUUAUUAUGUUGGUGUUUUGUAAGAUCAACAGUUAAUAAAUAGUUAUGUCAAAAGAACUUGCUGCAGAGCAGCAGAGUUCAAAAAAUCAUUAAAAAUAACCUACAAGUUCAAUCAACAUAAACUUUUUCAGAUUUGAAGUAUGCAUAUAGAACUUUAGUUUCUCUGAAUUUCAGCUCAUUCAGACAUGUUUAGACUAUUGUUUUGCACCACCAAACAUGAUACAUGAGUAAUUUAUGAAAGAUUGGACAGCAACCAACCAUUUUGAAAAAUCGAUUAAAAAUCAGUUAUAAACCCAAUUCAUUCCAAAAUUUCCUGAACUGAAACAUACACAUUUGACUUUAAUUAUUUCAAACAUAUGGUAAAGUUUGGACAAAAUAUUUCAAUACUUUGAGAGUUCAUUCCAAAAUCAUUACUUAUAAACAAGUCUUAUGAUUUUGGCCAUGAAUCUUAUAAAAUUUAAGAUACUUAAUACAUUGGAAUGAUAUUUUUCAGUUUUUAACAACACAUAUGAAUGAACAACAUACUAAAAUUUGAGGUUAUUCUGAUAUUAUUAUGCUGGUGUUUUGUAAGAUCAAAAGUUAAUAAAUAAUUAUGUCAAAAGAACUUGCUGCAGAGCAGCAGAGUUUAAAAAAAUCAUUAAAAAUAACUUGCAAGUUCAAUCAACAUAAAAAUUUUCAUAUUUGAAAUAUGCAUAUAGAACUUUAGUUUCUCCGAAUUUCAGCUCAUUCAGAUAUGUUUAGACUAUCGUUUUGUACCACCAAAGAUGAUACAUGAGUAAUUUAUGAAAGAUUGGACAGCAACCAACCAUUUUGAAAAAUCGAUUAAAAAUCAGUUAUAGACCCAAUUCAUCAUUACAAAAUUUCCAGAACUGAAACAUAUACAUUUAACUUUAAUUCUUUCAAAUAUAUGGUAAACACAAUAUUUUUCCAAAGUAGAUAUAAUGAAGGUUAUUUGGUGCCAAUAAAAGAGAAGAAAGUAGCAAAGAAAAAAACACAAUAAAAGCUAAAUCUUUACCUUCUUGUUUCUUCCAAGUAGCCAAAGAAACAAUACCUUCUAGUUUCUUCCAAGUAGCCAAAGAAACAUAGAAGCUCUUCUCCAAAUCACUUAUUUAAACCUAAAAGAACAAUUAAAACAAAAAAAAACUCAAGAUCUAAUGACAAUAAGAGAGACCCGAAAUCAUAAAAUAAGAAAAGAAAUAAGAAGUUAGGAUUUUAAAGGCAAAUGGUGAACCUGUGCCACCGGUUUGACAGGAUCAUGGUUGAGCACUUUUUGACAAUUUUUUUUAACCCAAAAACGCCAAGCUGAUGUUUUCUCAUAUUAAUCAAUACAUUAAUAGAAUCAAAUUGAAGCUGUAAGAACUAAAAACCAGAAAGGGGAACACAAGAGAGAAAUUCUAUGCUGUAUUCUCCUUCUUGAGUUUUGCAAGCUCCUAUCGAACAAGUCCACCCUUCUUGAUCUUUGCAAACAUGACCUUGAACCUAUCAAAAUCAUUCAGUGCCGCUCUCCUUUUUUGGACAAUCAGCUUCUUGCCCCAGGAGCUGUUUUCCCAUUUGUUCUUCACAUCAGCCUUCUCCAUGGCUUCAAUCAAAGACUUCUUCCUGGGAACUCGAUUGAUGUCAAUCUUAAUAUCCGUGAGAGAAAGCCUCUUCAUUUGGCUCCUCACCAUAUCAUGGGCAUCAACAAGAGCCUAUAAAGCAUCACAAAAAUAAUAACAAUUGUAUACAACUAAAAAAUAAACGAAACAGUUCAAAAUUCAAAGAAAUCCAAGCUAAAAUCACUCUGUUUACAAAAGCACAUCAACUUUCUAAUUUGCUAUUUUUGUACAGAAAAAUAAAGAAGGGGUACCCAGUUAUCAUCAACUAAACCAAAAUAUUCAGAAUUCUUGUGACAAUUUUAUAAGAUUCAACUCAAAUAAAGCAUAAGCAUAAAGUGAAUAAAGGUACCCUGUUUUGAUCAAGGACAUCGACGAUGACCACAAGCUUCCCAUAGUCCUUGUCGUAAUUAACGAGAGCAACUCUUCCUAUCUCCACGUACCUCUUGAACGGCUACACUCAAGGUCAUAAACUUUCAAUUAUCAACUACUUGUUGAAAAACAUAAAACUACGACAGAUUCAAGUUAAUUAAUCACUGUGUUGGUUAAUUCGUGAUCUGAGAAGGACCCAUUAGUGGCGAAGAGGUUACCAUUUUCGAAGAUAUUCAAGGCUCUGCCGGAGGAGCAAGGAGAUGAAUGAAUGAGGCAAGAGGCCACUUUUUGACAAUUUGGAUGUUAGGGAGUUUUCAGAUCUGGGGAGCUUAGGAGGGAACAAAUACUUUGGUAGAGGGGGUUGAAAAGUUAUAUUUUGGAUAAGAUCCAUUUGUUGUUUUGUUUUUAUCCACUCAAAAAGCACAACUCUAAAAAAAUUAAAAAUAAUUCGUAGCCUAGUGGUCUUUUGAUUCAAUGUAGAAGCUUUAGGUUUAAGAGGUCUUGGGUUCGAAUUCAGACUAAAACAAAAUUAAAAUGAUAAUUUUUAAUUGCUGAUACCAAAGCGUCAUUGAUCGCUAUUACUAAAGCUAUUGAUACUUCAGUAUUAGUAAUUAGUGAUACAUAUCUGUUAAACGCGGAAACUGAUCCAAAUAUAUGUAUAUACUGAUACUUUUAAAUAAAGUAUCAGAAGACAAGUAUUAGUAAAGACUAUUUUUCUAGUAGUAUGAACUUUCAUUUAAAAUAAGAAAUGAACUAAUUUGUAUUUAAUUAUUUAAGUAAUUUUAACUAAAAAGGGGAGUUUAUUAGGAAUUUUGAGGAGUGUCAAAAGUCUUAAUCUUUUUUUUUUUUUAAUUUGGGAAGGAAAUUUCUGUUGAACAUGUGAAAAGUGAAAACAAUGGGAGACACAAUUGUACUUUUUUAGACAAAAUCUCAUGGUAAGCCACACACCCCGUAGUAAAAUACUAUGUAAUGGGAAAGAAAUGAAUUUAAAUACUUUAUAUAUGUUGCAAACUGGAAUCAGAUAUUGGAAUUUAUAUUUCAGGAUUUCGAUUCAACGACUCUCUAUAACUCUUCAAUAUUGAAUUGUUAAUCAGUUAAUUAUGUUAUAUCAAUACCAAUUCAAUCACAAGUAUGGCGACAUGAAAAGUAAUAAAACAACCACAAUUGACAAUUAAUAUUUGCUUUCAAUACUAUUUCUGAGGGAACCAUUAUUUUGCUUGAUGAAGGAGAUGAAUUUAUUGGUCAACUCCAAAGCAUUUGUACAUGUAGGGUUUCUCAAAUAAAAGACAUGCUUCUCAUCGAGAUGCUCAACGAGCUCCACUCUCCUUUUCCAUUCACUCUUCAACUCCUCGUAGUAAUUUUUCCCAGCGGGACACAAGUAGUCUCUCUCAGCCACAAAUAUCAAAACCCUCUCACACCCAAACCUAGCCAGAUCCUCUGCGGGCGGUUUCAUCCUAGGAUCCUGCGGCCCAUCAUUACUUACACACAUGUACAACCACAUCUCAUCGUCCUCCGUACGGCCAAAAAAUGGGUGUACCAUCGUCACCCCAACCAAGUUCACACCGGGUAGCCCGAUUGAUCCGACCCGGAACGCCAGAGUGUGUGCGAUGUUCCCUCCUGCACUGUCCCCACCAAUGAAAAAAUAAGUUCUUAUAUUUUCUUCACCAAAAUUAUUUUAAAUGUGUAUGUUAAAUCUAAAAUUAAAUAAAAUUAUUUGAGGAAAAUCAAAUUCGUCUAAGUAAACUAGAUUUACCUCCAAUAGAUAUUAAGUCUGGCUAUGCGGGGGAAGUAGAAAAUCCGCUACUUUAUAAAUAUAAUUCAACACCACAUUGUAGUUUAAAUACUGUGAUUUAGCCUAUGUACGGAGAUGGUUGUUUUUUAUCAAUUUGAAUUCGGAUCUUCUUCUAAUCUCAUUUUUUUCUUAAAUUUUUUGAAAUUCUUGAGACAAGUGAAAAUCGUUUUAGAAAAUCUAUUUCUUAAAUUAGAAAAGUAAAAUAGCAAAUUUCCAUAAACAAACCCAAGUCUUCUCUUUCAUUCACUAUUAUUAUUAUUUUCUUUUGGUAAUUUUUAGGGACAUCCCCUAAGGUUUUGCAUAUUAACACUCAAAUAAAAUGUAUUGAUUUAAUUACAGAUACUUCCCUCCUCGUUAAUAUAAAAUAUGUAUGGCGUUAGUAUAAAAGGAUAAACAUGUAAAUACAUACUUAAAUUUAAAAAAUAAUUUAAAGUGAAGCUCGAUGUUGAGAAAUCUUAAAUGUUACACCUUAUUAACCAUAUCUUGAAAAUAACCAGCAGACAAAAGAGAGCCACCAAUGCACUUAUCUUUCUCUUUCACAUAAGCAAAAACUCAAUACCAUAAGCAAAAGCCAAACAUCCACUUAUCUUUCUAUUUCACAGAAGCAAAAACCCAAUACCAUUCCCGAUCUUUUUUUUCUAAAGUUGUGAAGAAAUCAAGUUUAAAAAAGAUUUUACCUUCAAUUUUUGUGUUGGCUCAAGUCUUCCAUAAUGCCGCUGGCCGAGAAGAAGUGGAAGGCUGGGAAGAAAUCCCGGAGGAAUUUGCCACUGGCGACAAGAAAAAGAAGUGCGAGAAGAAGAGCAUCAAGACGUACACGAUCUAAAUCUUCAAAGUCCCAAACCAAAUCUAUCUUGAUAUCGGAAUCUCAAGCAAGGCCAUGGGAAUCAUGAACAGUUUCAUCAACGAUAUUUUUGAUAAGCUUGCUUAGGAAGCUUCAAGGCUGGUGAGGUACAAGAAGAAGCCGACGAUUACAUCUCGGGAAAUUCAGACCAUAUUGUGAGACGUUUACUUCUUGGUGAGCUGGCCAAGGGUACCAAGGCUAUUAUUAAGUUUGCUUCUUUCUAAAUGAAAUUUGCUGCAUUUGUCAGUAGAUUUUGGUGCUAUAUGAUUUGUUUAGUUAGUGAUUUAGGCUUUUAAUUUUACUAGAUGAAGACGUUUUGUUUUUCUUUUCUUUUUUUUUGGGGUGGGUUUGUAAGGUUUGUUUAGAUGUACUUGAAAUUGGGAUCUGAUCUAGGUGACGUGCAUGUUCAUUAUGUGAGAAAAAGAAAAAGAAAUAUGAUUUCUAAAUUGUCUUGUUGGUUCUUUACUGAGUUGUGAUUCAAUAUUAUGAAAUUCUCUUAAGUGAAAUAACUGCAUUUUAGAAAUUUUUUUAUUUAAUAGGCGAUAUCAAUUGCUUUACAUGGAGGACUAUGUUGGUCUAUUAAACAUUUUGUGAUUCCAAGUAAUCUUAUUGUCAUUGGUUCUCAAAGCUUUGUUUAAUAAUUUAUCAUUUUGGCAGGAAGGGUAUUUUAGUAAUUUAAACAGUCUACUAACAGUCAAUGUAAUGAGAAACUAACGACAAGGGAGCUACCUGUAAUUACAUCAAUACAUUCCAUCUCAAUGUUAAUACGCAAAACCUCAGGGUAGGUCCCUAAAAAUUACUCGCUAGGUAAAUUUUAUUUUUUACCCCCUCAAUUUCGUAGUUCUCACGUAUUGUCAGCUGCAUUAAUAAAGUUUGUUGUUUCCAUGUUAUUAUAACAUGAAAAAUAAAAUAAAACGAAUUGCACAGCAUAUAUAUUACAUCGUAACAUAAAUAAUUGGUUCAUUAAUUUUGUUGCUUCCAUAUUAUUAUAAUAUGAAAAAAAAAAGAAUUGCAGAGCAUAUAUAUUACAUAAUAACGUAAAUAAUCGGUUCAUUAAAACAUGCUUAUUGUCAGAAAACUGAAAUAUUAGGUAUUCCUUCAUGGGUUAUUGCGUUUAAAUCGAGUUGAUACUAGGACUUUGGGCCAGGUUGGUAAUAUUGUAUUUUUUAAAAUUAUUGUUGUUGGAUAUGCUAUAGAAAUAAUGAUGAUGAUGAUGAUGAUGAUGAUGAUCUCUUUAAAGUUAACAAUUUUAUUUUCCAAUUGAUUAGGAUAAUUUUAGAUUUUUAUAAUAUAUAUAUAAGGAUAUACAUGAACUAUAUUAAGUAUAAAAUUAAUUUUCAAAAUUAGAUUUUGAAAAGCACUCUUUCCCUUCUUUUAAAAUCUCUUAUAAGAUGUGUUGAUUUUGUCAAAAGUGAUUUGUGAAAAAAUUUAAUAAACACCAAAAUUAAUUUUUAAUCUUUCAAAAUAACUUUUAAAUCUCUCAAAAGUAAUCCCAAAACAGGUCCUUUGAAUGAAUGCAACAUGUAAGUUAAGAAGGCGAAAUAUUGAUAGAGCUGCUAUCAGGAUUUUGAAUGAAUGCAAUAUGUAAGUCAAGAACGUGAAAGAACUGUAAUCUUAGUCAUGAAGUAUAUGCUAUCAUUUUGAGAUUGUCUUAUUGCUUCUUCACAAUCUCAUUUUGGUUUAAUUAAACAAAUAACAAAUAUAUGCUUGUUACUAGAUAUUUUGCCCCAUCUCUGACCACCACCCAUCUUGAAAUUUAUACAAUUUUAAUUUAUUGUAUCAUGAUAAGAAUGUGUGCGAUCAUGCAUGUGUUUUCUUCUUGGUGGGUCUAAGCCGUGUGACUUGAUGAGGAUGGCUGAGAAAUGGAUGGUUGAUUAUGAAAGCACAUCUUGCUAGUAUUUGCGAAUAAUUUCAUUGAUUUAUUAUAUAAAUCAUCUUAAAAGAUUUAACUUAUUACGAUUAAGACAGUUUAUUAGUGGAGUAAAUAUCAAUUUUUUUCUUUUCUCUUCUUUGUAUUUUUUACUUUAUAUUUCUUGAAUCUCAAUUUAAUCUAUUUAUGUCGAAAAUUAUUUUUUGGUUAUUAAUAUUUUACUCUCGGUUAUUGAAUGCGUUUGGUUUUUCACAAUUUUGAUAAAUUAAAAUGCAUUGUAACGGCAUUUUAUGAAAAGCCAAAUGCAUUUUAUUGAAAAGCCAAGUGCAGAAUCCACCGCCAUGCCUGUACUAUUGGCUUUUCAUAAUUUUGAUCACGCAAGCAUAUGUGGCUGUGUAAUUACGCACUGAAUCCAAAUCCACCCACCUUCCCCCGCGCGCCCACCCACCAUCCCCCCGCGCCCACCCGCCAAAAGGUCAAUUUUUUCCUCUUAACGUAUUAAUCUUUAAAAAUCAUUCGUGGAUUGGAUAUAUAGGUGACGUCUUCGUCGUCUAGCAUGCAUCAAACCAUGCUGUUCCAUUUUAGUUAAUGAAUUAUUUGUUUCAUCACUCAUGCAUGAAUGACAAUGGCAUGUGAUGUCCCUCGUCAGUCAUGCUACUUGGUAAACAUGCAUCAAUGACAACGGCAUAUGUAUGUCCCUCAUCCUUUAUAAAGACUGACGUUAACUUAUAAGCAAAUAAUCUUCCACCGAUAUGGAUUGCCUACCACCUUUAUUUAUUGUACUUAGUUCGACCCCAAACUGGAAAAAAAUCUAGUAUCAACAGUUGACAUUAUUUUUUUCCAAAAUACAGCAUCUUCCUUUCUCUCUUUACUACCAUAUAGGUCACAGUACAAAAGCCUCCCUAUAUUAUUAUUAUCUUUUUUCAGCUCAAUUUAAUCUUUCCUAUGGAUUCCUCAAACUCAAAGCCAGCAGCUGAAGUAGCCCAGGACGUGUCUCCCAUGUUUAAAAUAUACGAAGACGGCAUAGUGGAGAGGCUUAUAGGCAAGGAGAUAGUUCCCCCAUCCUUUGAUCCAAAAACAAGCGUUGAUUCCUGAAAGAGUUUGUUGACAGUGUUUGGCUUAAGAGAAACUAACAAGAAAAUAAAAGAAAAUCAUAAACGAAAGCUCUGAAAAAGAUCAUCUUAUUAUUAUAUAUAACUAAUGAUUACAACUUGUUAUUUAUAGUAAUGAUCAGAGGAAUCUCGUAGCUUGACAGUUUGUUGGAUCUAAUAUGCAUGCAAUACAGUUCGUUAUCUUUGCUGCUGAGCUAGAUAACUAACUAACACACGUAAGCAUUAUCAGCAGCUCCAUUUAAUCAGAUGCUCUCAUCUGUACCAUAUUAUCAUACUCUGUAACAUCCCUAUUCAAGCUGAACUGACCUGGAUGGACAUUCAGCUUGCUUCUUAGGUAGUGAAAUUGAUUGAAAGUUAAAGCUUUGGUAAGAACAUCGGCAUUUUGAUCUUCACUGGGAAUGAACUGAACUGUAAUUUGCUUAGCUGUUACUUUGUCCCUGAUGAAAUGAAUAUCAAAAUCAACAUGCUUAGUUUUAGCAUGAUAAACAGGAUUGUGAGCUAAAGCUAUGGCACUUUGAUUAUCACGCCACAUUAUGGGGGCUGUGACAAGAUGAAUAUGUAGCUCUUUCAAUAAGGACUGAAUCCAAGUGACCUCAGCUGUAGCUUGAGCCAAAGCUCUGUAUUCAGCUUCAGUGCUCGAUCUGGAAACUACUGCCUGUUUCUUAGAUGACCAGGAAACCAAACUUGAACCAAGAUAAACAGCAUAACCAGCCACUGAUUUGCGAUCAUCCUUAUCACAUGCCCAAUCUGAGUCACUAAAACAAUUUAUCUGCAUAGUGCCGUAAUGAUAAAAGUGUAAUCCAAAGUGAAUUGUUCCUUUCAAAUAUCUAAGAAGCCUCUUACAAGCCUCCCAAUGCUCUGUUGUUGGUGAAGCUAGAAACUGACUAAGUUUAUUUACAGAGAAAGCUAUUUCUGGCCUAGUGAGGGUCACAUAUUGUAAAGCUCCAACUGCACUUCUAUAUUUUGAAGCAUUUGAAAUAACAUUGCCUGACCAUUUUGUUAGAUAGUGACCAGUUGACAUGGGAGUAGGAACUGGACUGCUGUCAGCCAUAUUGUGCUUGGCUAGAAGAUCAGCUAUGUAUUUUGAUUGCGAGAGAUACAUUCCUGAUGUUGUUUUGGUAACUUCUAUCCCAAGGAAAUAACUCAGUUUGCCCAGAUCUUUCAAAGCAAAAGCAUUUUGCAUAUUUGUAACCACUUGUUGCACCAGUUGAUCACUUGAGCCUAUGAUGAUUAUAUCAUCUACAUAGACAAGAACAAAGAUUGCAUGACCACCUGUCCAUUUGUAGAAGAGAGAGUUGUCUGACCUUGAAUUGUGGAAUCCCCAUUGCAUAACCAAGCAUCUUUCAGUCUCUCAAACCAAGCCUUGGGGGCUUGUUUUAAACCAUAGAGUGUUUUCUUCAACUUAUAGACAUGAAGAGGUCGAGAUGGAUCAAUGAAACCCUCUGGUUGUCUCAUAUACACAUCUUCAACUAAUAUGCCAUUCAAAAAAGUAUUAUUCACAUCCACUUGUCUGAGCUGCCAUUUAUUCAUGACUACCAAACUUAAAAUAACUCUGACUGUGGAUGCUUUAACAACUGGACUGAAUGUUUCUGUGUAAUCAACUCCAUGUGUCUGAUGAAACCCCUUAGCCACUAACCUGGCUUUGUAUCUAGAAAUGGUUCCAUAAGCAUGAUACUUUAUCCUGAAUAUCCAUUUGUUUCCAACCACUUUAACUGGUUCACUUGGCAAGACCAGAUCCCAGGUAUAAUUGUUUUGAAGUGCUUGAUAUUCUUCUUGCAUUGCCUUAAACCAUUUUGGAUCAGAUAAAGCUGCUGAAAUAGAAGUAGGUUCUGAAGGUAUGGCUAGUAAAGCAGCUAGAUAAGAUUUAAGCUUAAAAAUACCAGCCUUGGAUUUGGUUAUCAUAGGAUGACCUAUAGGUGGUGCAGUAGGUAAUAUAUGAGGGGGAGAUUGUGUAUUAUGUGUAGGAUGUGUAUGUGAUGUUGAGGAAGGUGAAGAUGGAGAAAAUACCUGUAGAGUGUCAGCAGGUAGGUAAGCACUUGCUGGAGGAACUUGCAGAGGGGAUUGUACUUGUGGGACUUGGAACAAGAGUGACUCUAGACUCUGAAGAACUAUCUGAGGAACUGCAAAACUGAGCAAUGGAAGAUAAAUUUGAUCCAGACAUAUAUGGAAAAGACUGUUCAUCAAAGAUGACAUGGUUUGACACAUAUACACGACCAGAAGAGUGAAGGCAUUGAUACCCUUUAUGAGAAGAGCUAUACCCAAUAAAAACACAUCUAUUUGACCUAAAACUAAGCUUAUGAUUAUUAUAAGGUCUGAGAUAAGGAUAGCAAGCACACCCAAAGAUUCUAAGAAAAGCAUAAACUGGUACUUGCUGAAAGAGUUUUUGAUAAGGUGAAAUGUUGUUCAAAGUUAGUGUGGGUAGUCUGUUGAUAAGGAAUACAGCAGUAUGAAAAGCAUUCCACCAGAACUUAAGUGGCAGAUUAGCUUGAGCUAAUAGAGUGAGACCAAUAUCAACUAUGUGUCUGUGAUUUCUCCCAAGUCUUCCAUUUUGAUGAUGGAUAUAAGGAAAAGGAUGUCUGAACUGGAUUCCAAACUGAGGGAGAUAAGAUGAAAAUGUUCUAAACUCCCCUCCCCAAUCUGUUUGAACUGUUUUGAUUUGGUGUUGUAAGUGUUUUUCAAUGAAAGAUUUGAAUUCUAUAAAAGCUUGAAGGGCAUCUGAUUUGGCAGACAAAGGAAAAAUCCAUGUGUAUCUGCUAAAGUCAUCUAAAAUGGACAGGUAAUAUAUAUAGCCUUGAGUGGAGGCAACAUGUGAUGGUCCCCAAAGAUCAGCAUAUAUGAGUUGUAAUGGUGCUGUUGUUUUUGUGGAAACAGAACCAAAAUGUAAAAGAUGACUUUUACCAUGCUGACAAGCAUUGCAAAAACUUGGAGUUUUAUUGAGUACAUUAAGACUAUUACAAGCUUUCAAUACAGAUUUAAGUGUGUGUAAGGCAGGAUGUCCUAGCCUUUUAUGAACAAUAUUGACAUCAACUGAACUAGUAUUGACAGCCAAGGCUGAUUUACACAGCAACUGAUUAGAAGAAGUACUCUUAUUUAUUCCAGAAGAAACAUCAUUAGACAUAGGAAAAUGAUAAGCAAACAAAGACUGAGGUUUUUGGAAGAAAGUUGACAUGACAAAGCUGAGCUAGUUUCAAAGAUUUGAGCUGCAGAUUGGACUUGAUAUAAUCCCUCUAUUGCAAUUCCUCUAAGCAAAGUGAUCUCUGAGUUCCUGGCCUUGACAACACAAACAUUUUCACAAAACUCAAGUGUCACAUUGUUAUCUGCUAAAAGUUUAAAAACACUGAGUAAAUUCUUUUUAAUAUUUGGAACAUGAAGAACAUGGUUUAAACACAAGGGUUUAACUGUAGGAGUAGCUAGCAAUACUGAUCCAAUAUGUUUAAUAUGCAAUGCAAAACCAUUCCCAACAAGUAAUUUGUCAGUUCCAACAUAUGGCUGGAGAUCCAGUAAUUUACCUGAAUCAUUUGUGAUGUGGUUAGUAGCACCACUGUCAAUAUACCAAGCUGGAUCUUCAAACAUCUCAGGUGCAUGAGCUGGAACAGUGACUGGAGUAUUUGAAAAUAAGGAUGGUGAGCCAGAGUAAUCUCCAGUUGGGACAAAUGCAUGUGCUGGAGAGUAACCACCAUGAGAGUUAGGCUGUUGGUAAAUAUUAAAAGCAACUGAAUCUGAGUACAUCAAGUGACCUUGAUAACCAGGUGGUCUUGGUGAGUUGAAAUUCCCAAACUAAGAGUUACCAAUUCAAGCACCAAACUGAGGACUAAAGUUUCUACCAAAAUUUCCAUAAGCCAUAGCAGAUCUAUUUCCAUUUGCAUAGCUAAAUCCCUACCAUACUGCCUUUGACCAGGCCUAAAAUUUCCAUUAAAACCACCUCUCCCUUGAUUUCUUGAAGGAAUAAAGGCUGAAUUAAACCUAUUUCUGCAUUUAUUGGCAUUAUGACCAGGAAUAAAGCAGAUCUGACAUACAAUUUGUGACAAAUUACCAUCACCAGAUCCAGCUCCAGAAUUAUACACACCUCCAUAAGAUCCAUUGUUGAACUUUUGAUUACCACCAGUAUUUUUACCAGGAUUGAACUACUUUUAAGCAACAUUAGCUGACAAGUUAUCUGUAACAUCACUUGCAACUUUUCCUCUCUUUUGUUCCACUUGAUUUUCAUGACUCAGUAACAAUGAAUAAAAGUCAUCAAGACUGAUAUUAUCUCCUCUAGCUAACACAGUAGUGACUAAUGACUCAUAAUCAGAGGAAUACAAUCCAGUUAAAACAUGUUGAACAAAAUUAUUCACUUUAACAGGUUUUCCAGCUAAAGCUAAGCUGUCAGAUAUCCUUUUCAUUUUUGCAAAAUAAUCAAUUAUAGACAUUGAGCCUUUUUUAAGAGUUUGGAUCUGCAUUUUUAGAGGCAUUAUUCUAGCUUGCGAUUGGGAGACAAACAUACUUGUAAGUGUAUCGAGCAGCUCCUUUGCAGUUGAGCAGUGGAUCAUUGUUGUCAACAGAUUUGGCUGAAUAGAUGACAGCAUCCAACUCAGAAUCAAUUGAUCCGUCUUGAUCCACAUUGUGUAAGUUGGAUUGAUCUCUUGAUUCUCUGUUCCAGUUGAGAAACCAACAACAGAGCUCGUAGCAGAGAAAAUUUUUUUCGGACAAACUUGAUUUCCAUUGAUGAAAUCUUCUAAACCAUUUCCUUUGAUGGAUGUAAGGAUUUGAGUUCACCAAACAAUGAAGUUGUUAUGAUCUAGUUCUACUGGAGUAAUAAAACUAAAGGAUCCAGAAUUUUGAUUUGAGUUUGCCAUUUGUUUGCUCUGAUACCAUGAAAGAGUUUGUUGACAGUGUUUGGCUUAAGAGAAACUAACAAGAAAAUAAAAGAAAAUCAUAAACGAAAGCUCUGAAAAAGAUCAUCUUACUAUUAUAUAUAACUAAUGAUUACAACUUGUUAUUUAUAGUAAUGAUCAGAGGAAUCUCGUAGCUUGACAGUUUGUUAGAUCUAAUAUGCAUGCAAUACAGUUCGUUAUCUUUGCUGCUGAGCUGGAUAACUAACUAACACACGUAAGCAUUAUCAGCAGCUCCAUUUAAUCAGAUGCUCUCAUCUGUACCAUAUUAUCAUACUCUAUAACAAUUCCAAAGAAGUUGUGUAUUCACCUGAAAAUAAUCUAUCCACUCGGCUUUACAUCCCCAAAAACACAAACAAUCCAAACCAUAAACUCCCUCUAGUGGACUAUAUCUAUGGCGGAGGCUUUUGCAUCUAUUCUGCCUUUCAUCCAACUUACCAUAAUUAUGUUAAUACCCUGGUCUCUGAAGCUAAGGUUAUUGUAGUCUCUGUUGACCAUCGACGAGCUCCUAAGAAUCAUGUCCCUUGUGGUCAUGAAGAUUCAUGGGCUGCACUCAAAUGGGUUGCUUCUCAUGCUGAUGGACAAGGCCCUGAAGAUUGGCUUAACCAUUAUGCUGAUUUUGAGCGAGUUUUUAUUUAUAGGGACAGCGCUGGAGGUAAUAUAGCCCAUCACAUGGUGAUGAGACUCCCUCGAGAAAUUCUCGACGGUUUUAAUGUUGUUAGUUUUGUUUUAGCUCAUACCUAUUUUUAGGGAAAAGAACCUGUUGGUGAUGAGACAACUGAUGCCGAAACUAGAGCUUCCAUAGAGAAGAUGUGGCGAGCUGCUUGUCCUGGUACAAGUGGGUGCGAUGAUCUGCUAAUUAAUCCGUUCGUCGGUUCGAGUCUAGCGAACCUCGAGUGCAAAAGGGUGCAGAUUCAUGUUGCAGAGAAGGAUUUGAUGAGAGAUAGAGGAUGGUUUUAUUAUGAGAAGUUAAAGGAAAGUGGUUAGGG